rnacentral:rRNA from 1 species
UACGUAGGGUGCGAGCGUUGUCCGGAAUUAUUGGGCGUAAAGAGCUUGUAGGCGGUUUGUCGCGUCUGCCGUGAAAUUUCGAGGCUCAACCUCGAACUUGCGGUGGGUACGGGCAGACUAGAGUGUGGUAGGGGAGACUGGAAUUCCUGGUGUAGCGGUGAAAUGCGCAGAUAUCAGGAAGAACACCAAAGGCGAAGGCAGUGUCCUGGCUGGUACCUGACGCUCAGGUGCGAAAGCUAGGGGAGCGAACGGG